rnacentral:lncRNA from 1 species
GGGUAGUGCCCUAUAGAAGAAGUGAUGUAAUUCUUGUGACACCUCAGGCAGCUCUGUGAGAGGGCUAUGAUAGAAAAAUAAGACUGACACUCCCCUCUUUAUGGUUUCCUAAUCUUGCCAUGUGACUGUUCCUACAUGGGUCCCACCAUUGUGAUGCCAUCUCCCAUUGUGAUGACACAGCCAAUGUCCCUCACCAGAGCCAAGCAGAUGUUGGUGCCAUGCUCUUGAACUUCUAAAAAUAAGCCUCUGCUUUGUCAAGUAGAACCAUCUAUGGUGCUGGAAGUCAGUGGAAGGCUUGGCAUAACCAAGAAAUGAAGUCAUGGAGGUCAGCUGGCCUUGAUGCUCCAAUGGUUGAGACAUUCCCAAGUGAGUCUGUGCCUCAGGUUUCACUCUGCAGGUGUAUUUGUGCAGUCACAGGAGGAAGGGAGGCGCAUCCUCCACUGCUGCUUGUCACCAGCAUGGUAUGUAUGGAAGGCUUCCCUCUGGAAAUACCAGGACUCUGAUUUCCUAGGCUGGUCCCCAGCCUAACAGAGGCAACAGUGCAAGAAAGAUAGUGACAGCACUGCUUGCCGAGAUCUUCUUGGGUUUACUUCCUUUCAUUCUCAAGACAAUAUUCUAGAGGUGAGGAACUGCUGGAGGCAAAGCUCCCGGAAGGAGAGCAUUGAAGGCUGUCUGUUCCUAAUGAGGGUACUGUUGCUACUGGGGAACUGAGGCACAAAGGUGAUGAUCUGGUGGUCUCCAAGAGGACGAGGACUUGUCCAUCCCCAAUGACCUGAAUGGUGCUUGGCACAUAGUGUGUGCUCAACAAACAUUGGCUCAAUGAUUGGCUUGGAUGAUUGAAUAGUUGUCAGUUCCCUACUCAAUGAUUUUCAGUCUUUAAACCCCCUUCUCUGCCUUCCCUGUUCUAUAACACUUAUUGGGUCCCUACUGUGUGCCAAGAACAGGCUAGAGGAAAUGUACUUUCUUUUGGGGUGAUGAAACGCUUUGAAACUAGAUAAAGAUGUGUUUGCCCA